rnacentral:rRNA from 1 species
AGCAGUCGCCGCGGGAAUGCGUAGGUGGCAAGCGUUGUCCGGAAUUAUUGGGCGUAAAGGGCUCGCAGGCGGUUUCUUAAGUCUGAUGUGAAAGCCCCCGGCUCAACCGGGGAGGGUCAUUGGAAACUGGGAAACUUGAGUGCAGAAGAGGAGAGUGGAAUUCCACGUGUAGCGGUGAAAUGCGUAGAGAUGUGGAGGAACACCAGUGGCGAAGGCGACUCUCUGGUCUGUAACUGACGCUGUGGAGCGAAAGCGUGGGGAGCGAACAGGAUUAGAUACCCCCGUAGUCCCUGUCUCUUAUAC